rnacentral:lncRNA from 1 species
UGCGGGACCGGAGGUAGCGCGUGCCGGCUGCGGGCGCUGAGGGGGCGCGUGACGUGCCCACGCGAGAGGCAGACAGAGACAGAGACAGGCAGGCAGAGACAGAGACAGACAGAGAUAGGCAGGGAGACACAGGCAGAGACAGACAGGCAGACUAACAUUGACAGACAAACUGACUGAUUGACUGAGGGGCCCGAGGCCCCUUCUCCACGGCAGGAUGUCCCCCACCCGCAUGCCUCCGUGGCCAGCGGGUUGGCGACAGCUCGGGGUGACCCGGUAGAUGAAGGACAUGUCAGAGCAGCCCGAGGGACUCCCUCCUUACGGGUCUGCUCUAGUAUUGGGUUUUGUGUUUAUUUGAGGGCAUCUGGUCCCGAACCGUCUCGUUCAUGUGUUGUGUGACAAAAACCUGAACAGAGAGCACAUCCCGUUACCUGCAGGGUUGAAAUUUGUCCUGUUCCCUCCCAGGUUUUCUCAGCCUAUGUGAAACGUCUCCGCAGGCGUUUCCUCCGGGGCUGUGGCAGCACCCUGCGGGUCUGUCUGCCUUGUAGAAACACCUGGAACCCGCUGUGCUGGGACAUGAGGGUUUGCUUCAUGCCCUUGCUUCAGGCCCUUGUUAACUCCGGGGAAGCUAGCCUAACCAAGAAGAUCAAGACCACUUGUUUGACAGAAUUGCAGGUUUUGUGGCACAUUUUCUUCUUGUU